rnacentral:rRNA from 1 species
AACAGCGUAAUGCUACAGACGACUGGACUGGGCUAGCUGUAAACGACCAAUGGGCGAAAGCCUGAUCCAGCCAUGCCGCGUGUGUGAAGAAGGUCUUCGGAUUGUAAAGCACUUUAAGUUGGGAGGAAGGGUACUUACCUAAUACGUGAGUAUUUUGACGUUACCGACAGGAAUAAGCACCGGCUAACUCUGUGCCAGCAGCCGCGGUAAUACAGAGGGUGCAAGCGUUAAUCGGAAUUACUGGGCGUAAAGCGCGCGUAGGUGGUUUCGUUAAGUUGAAUGUGAAAUCCGGGCUCAACCUGGGAAAUGCAUCCAAAACUGGCGAGCUAGAGUAUGGUAGAGGGUGGUGGAAAUUUCCUGUGUAGCGGUGAAAUGCGUAGAUAUAGGAAGGAACACCAGUGGCGAAGGCGACCACCUGGACUGAUACUGACACUGAGGUGCGAAAGCGUGGGAGCAAACAGGAUUAGAUACCCUGGUAGUCCACGCCGUAAACGAUGUCAACUAGCCGUUGGGAGCCUUGAGCUCUUUAGUGGCGCAGCUAACGCAUUAAGUUGACCGCCUGGGGAGUACGGCCGCAAGGUUAAAACUCAAAUGAAUUGACGGGGGCCCGCACAAGCGGUGGAGCAUGUGGUUUAAUUCGAAGCAACGCGAAGAACCUUACCAGGCCUUGACUCCAAUGAACUUUCCAGAGAUGGAUUGGUGCCUAGGGAACAUUGAGACAGGUGCUGCAUGGCUGUCGUCAGCUCGUGUCGUGAGAUGUUGGGUUAAGUCCCGUAAC